rnacentral:tRNA from 1 species
GCCGCCAUAGCUCAGUUGGUUAGAGCAACUGCCUCGUAAGCAGACGGUCAGGGGUUCAAGUCCUCUCGGUGGCUCCA